CCUACGGGAGGCAGCAGUAGGGAAUCUUCCACAAUGGGCGAAAGCCUGAUGGAGCAACGCCGCGUGAGUGAUGAAGGCCUUCGGGUUGUAAAACUCUGUCAUUCGGGACGAACCGGAGUCUGAGGAAAUGCAGACUCUCUGACGGUACCGGAGGAGGAAGCCCCGGCUAACUACGUGCCAGCAGCCGCGGUAAUACGUAGGGGGCAAGCGUUGUCCGGAUUCACUGGGCGUAAAGCGCGCGCAGGCGGUGAUGUAAGUCUGAGGUGAAAACCCGAAGCUCAACUUCGGGACUGCCUUGGAUACUGCGUCACUUGAGGAUAGGAGAGGCAAGGGGAAUUCCACGUGUAGCGGUGGAAUGCGUAGAGAUGUGGAGGAACACCUGUGGCGAAGGCGCCUUGCUGGCCUAUUUCUGACGCUGAGGCGCGAAAGCGUGGGGAGCAAACAGGAUUAGAUACCCUGGUAGUCCACGCUGUAAACCGAUGAGUGCUAGGUAGGUAGGUGGGUCGUCACUACCUACUCGUGUGCGACGACGUAACGAC
rnacentral:rRNA from 1 species